AUACGUAGGGGGCGAGUGUUGUCCGGAAUGAUUGGGCGUAAAGGGCGCGUAGGCGGCGCGGUAAGUCUGGAGUGAAAGUCCUGCUUUCAAGGUGGGAAUUGCUUUGGAUACUGCCGCGCUUGAGUGCAGGAGAGGUUAUCGGAAUUCCCGGUGUAGCGGUGAAAUGCGUAGAGAUCGGGAGGAACACCAGUGGCGAAGGCGGGUAACUGGACUGCAACUGACGCUGAGGCGCGAAAGUGUGGGGAGCAAACAGGAUUAGAUACCCUGGUAGUCCACACUGUAAACGAUGAAUGCUAGGUGUAAGAGGUAUCGACCCCUUUUGUGCCGGAGUCAACACAAUAAGCAUUCCGCCUGGGGAGUACGGCCGCAAGGUUGAAACUCAAAGGAAUUGACGGGG
rnacentral:rRNA from 1 species